rnacentral:rRNA from 1 species
UGAGGAAUAUUGGUCAAUGGGCGGCAGCCUGAACCAGCCAUCCCGCGUGAAGGAAGAAUGCGCUAUGCGUUGUAAACUUCUUUUUCAGGGGGAUAAAAUUCUGUAUGAAUACGGAACUGAAGGUACCCUGAGAAUAAGCAUCGGCUAACUCCGUGCCAGCAGCCGCGGUAAUACGGAGGAUGCGAGCGUUAUCCGGAUUUAUUGGGUUUAAAGGGUGCGUAGGCGGAAGAAUAAGUCAGUGGUGAAACCCUGCAGCUUAACUGUAGACUUGCCAUUGAUACUGUUUUUCUUGAGUAUGGUCAAGGCAGACGGAAUGUGUAAUGUAGCGGUGAAAUGCUUAGAUAUUACACAGAACACCGAUGGCGAAGGCAGCUUGCUGGGCCGUUACUGACGCUGAUGCACGAAAGCGUGGGGAUCGAACAG